rnacentral:rRNA from 1 species
AUUGAACGCUGGCGGCAGGCCUAACACAUGCAAGUCGAGCGGAGCGGCGGACGGGGGAGUAAUGCCUAGGAAUCUGCCUGGUAGUGGGGGAUAACGUCCGGAAACGGGCGCUAAUCCCGCAUACUAUCAGAUGAGCCUAGGGCGGAUUCGGUAGUUGGUGGGGGAACGGCAUACCAAGGCGACGAUCCGGAACUGGUCUGAGAGGAUGAUCAGUAACAUGGGAACUGAGACACGGUCCAGACUCCGACGGGAGGCAGCAGUGGGGAAUAUUGGACAAUGGGCGAAAUCCUGAUCCAGCCAUGCCGCGUGUGUGAAGAAGGUCUUCGGAGUGUAAAGCACUUUAAGUUGGGAGGCGUUACCAACAGAAUAAGCACCGGCUAACUUCGUGCCAGCAGCCGCGGUAAUAC